rnacentral:rRNA from 1 species
UACGUAGGGGGCAAGCGUUGUCCGGAUUUAUUGGGCGUAAAGAGCGUGUAGGCGGCCUGACAGGUCUGCUGUGAAAACUCGAGGCUCAACCUCGAGAUGUCGGCGGAAACCGUCUGGCUAGAGUCCGGAAGAGGAGAGUGGAGUUCCUGGUGUAGCGGUGAAAUGCGCAGAUAUCAGGAAGAACACCCGUGGCGAAGGCGGCUCUCUGGUACGUGACUGACGCUGAGACGCGAAAGCGUGGGGAGCAAACAGG